rnacentral:rRNA from 1 species
UACGUAGGGUCCGAGCGUUGUCCGGAAUUACUGGGCGUAAAGAGCUCGUAGGUGGUUUGUCGCGUUGUUCGUGAAAACUCACAGCUUAACUGUGGGCGUGCGGGCGAUACGGGCAGACUUGAGUACUGCAGGGGAGACUGGAGUUCCUGGUGUAGCGGUGGAAUGCGCAGAUAUCAGGAGGAACACCAAUAGCGAAGGCAGCUCGCUGGGACGUUACUGACACUGAGGCGCGAAAGCGUGGGGAGCGAACAGG